rnacentral:ncRNA from 1 species
UGAUAGCGUUGAAGCGUGAGGUUGCUGCCGGGAUACGGCAGGUUUUCCGUGGAGCGAGUCAAGUUAUAAAACUGGCGACAA